rnacentral:misc_RNA from 1 species
GAUGAAGAACGUAGCGAAAUGCGAUACUUGGUGUGAAUUGCAGAAUCCCGUGAACCAUCGAGUCUUUGAACGCAAGUUGCGCCCGAAGCCAUCAGGUUGAGGGCACGUCUGCCUGGGCGUCACAUAUCGUUGCCCAAUGCCUAUUGCAGUGCAAUAGGAAUUUCUAGGGCGAACGAUGGCUUCCCGUGAGCGUUGUUGCCUCGCGGUUGGUUGAAAAUCGAGUCCUUGGUAGGGUGUGCCAUGGUAGAUGGUGGUCGAGUUAGAACGAUACCGAUCAUGUGCAUGCUCCCCAAAAUAUGGCCUCUAUGACCCACACGCGUCUUUUGACGCUCAUGACGAGACCUCAGGUCAGGCGGGGCUACCCGCUGAAUUUAAGCAUAUCAAUAAGCGGAGGA